CCCUUAGAUGUCCUGGGCCGCACGCGCGCUACACUGACAUGUUCAACAAGCCUCCUAGUUCGACAGGAUUUGGGAAAUCUUUGAACGCAUGUCGUGAUAGGGAUAGAUCAUUGCAAUUAUUGAUCUUGAACGAGGAAUUCCUAGUAACCGCGAGUCAUCAGCUCGCAUUGAUUACGUCCCUGCCCUUUGUACACACCGCCCGUCGCACCUACCGAUUGAAUGUUUCGGUGAAGAUUCCGGAUAGGACUUUUUUGAUUUAUUUCAAUUUUGUCUUAAAAGCUAUCUAAACCUCAACAUUUAGAGGAAGGUGAAGUCGUAACA
rnacentral:rRNA from 1 species